GCUAUAGUGGCCUAGUGGUUAGUGCGUCCGCCUCGGAUGUAGGAGAUCAUGGGUUCGAUCCCCAUCAGAGCCA